UUGUUUUUCUUCUAGUUUAGUUCUAUAAUCUAUUGUAGUUUUUUGGUUUUAAUCUCUAUGAUAAUAGUUCUUAUUCUUUGAGUUUGAAAGUAUACUUUCAGAUGAGGUUGUUCCCAUUUCAAGUCUUAGCAAGAAUUGAUGAAGUCGUCCAUAGAGAACUCAGCAUGUCACUGAGAUGCUGUGAUUAAGGUGGAAUUAGUUUUAAGUUAUUAGACCCUAUUUUAAUGUUAUAUGUCAUCUUGUUUGUGUCUAGUUUUGUUCUUCUUCAACUUUUUCUGUUAAUGUUUGUUAACAUAUCCAAGGUUUUGUUGGUGACUUAGUGUAUGUGUGUAUGUUGACCUC